rnacentral:rRNA from 1 species
AUACGGAGGGGGCUAGCGUUGUUGGGAAUUACUGGGCGUAAAGCGCGUGUAGGCGGAUCGUUAAGUCAGGGGUGAAAGCCCGGAGCUCAACUCCGGAAUUGCCCUUGAUACUGGCGGUCUAGAGGCCGGGAGAGGUGAGCGGAAUUCCCAGUGUAGAGGUGAAAUUCGUAGAUAUUGGGAGGAACACCAGUGGCGAAGGCGGCUCACUGGCCCGGUUCUGACGCUGAGACGCGAAAGCGUGGGGAGCAAACAGGAUUAGAUACCCUAGUAGUCC